rnacentral:rRNA from 1 species
CCUACGGGUGGCAGCAGUGGGGAAUAUUGUACAAUGGGGGGAACCCUGAUCCAGCCAUGCCGCGUGUGUGAAGAAGGCCCUCGGGUUGUAAAGCACUUUCAGUGAGGAAGAACGCCUGGUGGUUAAUACCCAUCAGGAAAGACAUCACUCACAGAAGAAGCACCGGCUAACUCCGUGCCAGCAGCCGCGGUAAUACGGAGGGUGCGAGCGUUAAUCGGAAUUACUGGGCGUAAAGCGCGCGUAGGUGGCUUGAUAAGCCGGUUGUGAAAGCCCCGGGCUCAACCUGGGAACGGCAUCCGGAACUGUCAAGCUAGAGUGCAGGAGAGGAAGGUAGAAUUCCCGGUGUAGCGGUGAAAUGCGUAGAGAUCGGGAGGAAUACCAGUGGCGAAGGCGGCCUUCUGGACUGACACUGACACUGAGGUGCGAAAGCGUGGGUAGCAAACAGGAUUAGAUACCCUGGUAGUC